rnacentral:rRNA from 1 species
UACGUAGGGUGCGAGCGUUGUCCGGAAUUACUGGGCGUAAAGAGCUCGUAGGCGGUUUGUCGCGUUGUCCGUGAAAACUCACAACUCAAUUGUGGGCGUGCGGGCGAUACGGGCAGACUGGAGUACUGCAGGGGAGACUGGAAUUCCUGGUGUAGCGGUGGAAUGCGCAGAUAUCAGGAGGAACACCGGUGGCGAAGGCGGGUCUCUGGGCCGAUACUGACGCUGAGGAGCGAAAGCGUGGGGAGCGAACAGG